AGCAGCCGCGGUAAUUCCAGCUCCAAUAGCGUAUAUUAAAGUUGCUGCAGUUAAAAAGCUCGUAGUUGAAUUUCGGGACCAUCAUGUCGGUCGUGCCUCGGUACGUACUGGCAUUGUUGGUUUCUCCCUUCUGACGAACCAUGAUGUCAUUUAUUUGGUGUUGUGGGGAAUCAGGACUGUUACUUUGAAAAAAUUAGAGUGUUUAAAGCAGGCUCACGCUUGAAUACAUUGGCAUGGAAUAAUGAAAUAGGACGUUUGAUUCUAUUUUGUUGGUUUCUAGGAUCGACGUAAUGAUUAAUAGGGAUAGUUGGGGGCAUUAGUAUUCAAUUGUCAGAGGUGAAAUUCUUGGAUUUAUUGAAGACUAACUACUGCGAAAGCAUUUGCCAAGGAUGUUUUCAUUAAUCAAGAACGAAAGUUAGGGGAUCGAAGACGAUCAGAUACCGUCGUAGUCUUAACCAUAAACUAUGCCGACUAGGGAUCGGAUGAUGUUAAUUUUUUAAUGACUCAUUCGGCGCCUUACG
rnacentral:rRNA from 1 species